UUUCGAGUGAUGCCUGAUCUCAUCAAUCUAGCGGGAGAGACGGGAUAACCUGUCCGAGAGUAUAGCACCACUAAGACCACGCCGAAAAAUCACUAAAAAAAUCACCAAAAAUAACUUACAGGAAAGAGCAGGCCGCGGAACUUGGCCAGCGUUGGCGCAGUCGGUUUUGACCUUUAAGAGAGCCAAUUCUGGAAAACAACCAAACUUCUUUGAUUGAAUACUCACAUGCGUUGGAACAUGAUUAGGAGAUUAAGCAAUCAGACUUGAAAGAAGAGAUUGAAGGCAUAGUGGCACUUUGAUAUUUCCAAUGGAGCAGGAUACAAGAAUGAAGAAAUGGCACAGGAUAUACCAGGAAAAGAUUGCCACAUAGCUAGUCCGGUUUGAAUGAAAAGAUAAGUAUGAAAGUUAAAUCAACUGUUCACUCAGCAUAGUACUCAAUAUUAAGAACAGUUGUCUAUGUUCAAAAGUUUGUAGUGAGUGCAAAUUAAGUAUUAGCUAGAAAAUUUGAAAUGUAAAUCCAUCAGAGAUAAUAGAUUUAAAUUGUUCCUGGGCUGGGGAUUUAGCUCAGUGGUUCCACUACCUGCCUACAAGUGCAAGGUCCCGAGUUCGAUCCCUGGUACCAAAAAAAAAAGAAAUAGUAAAAAAAUAAAUUGUUCUUUAAAGUAGAGAUAAAUACAAAGGGGAUUAAUAGGUAUUUUAACCUCCAAAAGUAGCCUUAUUGAAAAAUCAAAGUUUGAGUAGGCAUCGAUACAGAUUAGGGGAGAAAAGAACUAGAAAAUAAUUCGUUGUAAGCAUCUCCAUUCUUCAGGGUGCCUUGAAGAGUCAUGCACUCAGAGAGGAUAAUCACUGCAUUGAAAAUGAUUAUAAUUUAUUUGUUCUACUUGCUACUUACCUGGUGACCAGAGGAGUAUCAUGCUUGGUCAGUCUUGCUAUCCAUUUACAACUAUUUUAUUAUGCUAAGAGCUCUUUCUUAAUAUAUAAUCACCAUACUUACAACGCACUAACAUAAUAAUCCCUUGCUAUAGUCAUACCAGUUUCUUUUGAACUCCUGAUUGUUUCAGAAAAAUGAACCUUCCAUUUGGAUUUAUUUUUCUUUUCUACAUAAUCUCACUAAGUUUCCCAGGCUGGUCGCCAAACUUGGGAUCUUCCUGAAUAGCUGGAAUUACAGCCAUGUGCCAUACAUAUUGCAUUCGGUUUUCAUGAUUCUUAAAAGAGAACUUUUAAAUGGAGUGAUAGUGUUUCCAUUGGAGAGAGAUGAAAUUGGAUAGAUUCUGAUUAUAUAGUCCUUGAUACUUUGGCAAAAAAAAAAUAUAUAUAUAUAUAGGCUGUACUUAGAAAAUCAGGUACAGAAUGUGAAAAUGUG
rnacentral:lncRNA from 1 species